rnacentral:rRNA from 1 species
AUUGAACGCUGGCGGCAUGCUUUACACAUGCAAGUCGAACGGCAGCGCGGGCUUCGUCCUGGCGGCGAGUUGCGAACGGGUGAGUAAUACAUCGGUACGUGCCCAGCAUUUGGGGCUAGCUCGGCGAAAGCCGGAUUAAUACCGCAUACGACCUGAUGGUGAAAGCGGGGGAUCUUUGGACCUCGCGCUAUUGGAGCGGCCGAUGGCAGAUUAGCUAGCUGGUGGGGGAAAGGCCUACCAAGGCGACUAACGGUAGCUGGACUGCGAGGACGACCAGCCACACCGGGACUGGGAACCGGCCCAGGCUCCCACGGGGAGCAGCAAGGGGGGAAUUUGGACAAAGGGGGGAAGGCUGGACCGGGAAUGCCGCGUGUGUGAAGAAGGCCUUCCGGUUGUAAAGAACUUUUGGCGAGAAAGAAAAGAACUGUGCAAAUACCACGGUUCGAUGGCGGUAACCGAAGAAUAAGCACCGGCUAACUACGUGC